CUGACCAGGAUCCUGAAGCUGCCCAGGAGCAGUGGAGCAGUAUAGAUUUGGAGCAGUGGUUUGCAGAGGGACAUAGUUCGGAAGACAACAGCUGGGCAGAACUGAGUGGGGAACAGUAGGAGAAGAUGAACAGGGAGAAAGAGAAUUAACAGACUCCCUUUCAUUGGAAAGUGUCCAACCGAUCAGUCCAAAGUCAAGGAGAGCAGAUAAGGAAUGAGCUAAUCAGCUACCUCAGAUGAUAACGGAAAUGCUAUAGAAUCAUACAGCAGGCAGCAAGGUUCAAAUAGCUCCUUGAAGAAUGAGUCAUUUUAAUAACUUUUGAGAAUUUCCACCUCCAGCACUUUCAGAUCUCAGGUGCUUACUGCGUAGAGAAUUCUUCUAUACCGCUGGGAAACAAGUUCUGACUCAGAGAGGGCACCACUGCAGUCAGGGAGCCGGAACAAAUGAGUGCUACUUUUCUGCAGAAUUAGCUAAAGGCUACAUUUGAUACGUGCAAACAGGUAACUUUAGGAGGUUUCUUUUUAAAAAAGAUAUCUCCCACCGGGAUUCCCCCCACCCAUCCAUUCCAUCACGUUUUCAACAUCAGUCAGCCAUGGAAAGCUUGCUUUAUAGACUCCAUGUGCCUUGCUCACAUUUUUGAGCAUCAAUCAGAAGACAAGAAGAAAACCCCCGCCAAUCAUCAACUGCAACAAACAGCAAAUCUGCAGGGCAAUUUGUACAGCCAGCCUUGAAUUGUUUCUUCCAGUUAAAAUCGUUACCAGCUAAUGCCUCAGAGAGUUUAUGUGGCUGCAUUGUGUUAACAAAGUUCAUAUAAUACCCUUCCUUCCUCCCUCCCUCCCUCCCCCCUUCCUUCCUUCCUUCCUUCCUUCCUUCCUUCCUUCCUUCCUU